UACGGAGGGGGCUAGCGUUGUUCGGAAUUACUGGGCGUAAAGCGCACGUAGGCGGCUUUGUAAGUUAGAGGUGAAAGCCCGGGGCUCAACUCCGGAAUUGCCUUUAAGACUGCAUCGCUAGAAUUGUGGAGAGGUAAGUGGAAUUCCGAGUGUAGAGGUGAAAUUCGUAGAUAUUCGGAAGAACACCAGUGGCGAAGGCGACUUACUGGACACAGAUUGACGCUGAGGUGCGAAAGCGUGGGGAGCAAACAGG
rnacentral:rRNA from 1 species